UACGUAGGGUGCGAGCGUUAAUCGGAAUUACUGGGCGUAAAGCGUGCGCAGGCGGUUUUGUAAGUCUGUCGUGAAAUCCCCGGGCUCAACCUGGGAAUUGCGAUGGAGACUGCAAGGCUAGAAUCUGGCAGAGGGGGGUAGAAUUCCACGUGUAGCAGUGAAAUGCGUAGAUAUCGGGAGGAACACCUGUGGCGAAAGCGGCGCACUGGACCAUAACUGACGCUGAUGCACGAAAGCUAGGGGAGCAAACAGG
rnacentral:rRNA from 1 species